ACAAGGACACGGGCACAGACAUGGGUAGUAAUGAGACCUAUUAAGUAUUUUCCCCUCCAGUAGGCAGAUGUGCAUGAUACAUAAAUUACAAAUAAGAGGAACCUUGUGAACACAUUUCAAAGGCAAGAUGAGUGAAUAUCGGUGACUUGUGGUUUUCAUGUAUUUUAUAAUUCAGUUCUUGGUAUAAAAUAUAUUUUAUAUUCCAACCUCGUAUACACCUAUACACUCUUGAAAAAUCGAAAGAAGAGUUUCACUGAAGAAAACUUAAUUUCACAAGGUGUGAUACUCUCUGAUGUUUUAUUUUACAUCAUAUACUAGUUCAAUUAAAAAAUAAAUUCAUUAAGCUCAUCAGAAUUGACUGUGCCUGCAAUUUCAAAAAUGAGUCGGAGGAACAAGAUAUUAAUGACUGGGCACCGCCUCUCCCACCUCCACCUGAUGCAGUGCUCGAUGGUGAACUCACUGAGCCAGGCCAUCUGUGUCCUUGCAAGGUGACCUUCCCUGUGCCCUUGCAGUGGGCAUUGUGACACUUUCCUCUGAGACACUUCCACAGUUGUGUAUCUCAUGCUUUGUUUUCAAAACAGAUUCCUUGAAGCCUGUGGUGGUUUAAUCUGGCCAGCCUGGGAGGGACUAUUCCACUUCACAGCGAAUUUCUCUUUGAUCCUUUUGCUAAUUUCGUUCUGAGGUCAAUCUUAUUCCUGAGGUCCAAAGAGGUAUCUCUCUGCUAUGUCUCAUUUUAUUCUAUUAAUAGUGUAUUAAUAUGGGCUGCUGAAGUUAUUUUUUCUUAGCACUUAUUAGGUGUUUGUAUUUGUUUUAUUUUAUAAUACUUACUCACUAAAUAUUAACCUUCACAAUUGAGGCAACAUGCCCAGGGGAAGAAAGCUGACCUCAGUGUCUGUCACUGUGUACAGGCUCCUGUGGAAUUGUCAAUGCUGAGCAGCACACGUAGCUCUUGGAGUCUCAUUUUCUUCAUUUCUAAAUUAGAAAUGAGCACUUGUACUUUACAGCAUUCUGAAGAUAGAAUGAGAUGUGUCCAGAUAACUCCUGUCAUGUGUUGGGGGAUACAUGUAUGUGUAUGUUCUUUCCCUUUCUUACAUGAUUAUUCUCUUUGUGUGGGGAGGUGGUGAGUGUUUUUAUUACAUGCGGAAAGGAGAUCUGUCUUGUUAUGCUGUAUUAGGCCAUUCUUGCACUGCUAUAAAGAAAUAUCUGAGCCUGGAUAAUUUAUAAGAAAAGAGAUUGAAUUGGCUCACACUUCUGAAGCUGUACAGAAAGCAUGGUGGCAUCUGCUUCUGGGGAGGCCUCAGGAAGCUUCCAAUCAUGGCAGAAGGUGAAGGGGGAGCAGGUACGUCACGUGGCCAGAGCAGGAGCAAGCAUAGUGGGUGUGCCACACAGUUUUAAAUGAUCAGAUCUGGCAAGAACUCACCAGCUAUUGCAAAGACAGCAGCAAGUCAUGAGGGAUCUGCCCCCAUGAUCCAAACACUUCCCACCAGGCCCCACCCCCAGCAUUGGGGAUUACAAUUGACAAUUCAACAUGAGAUUUGAGAGAGGAUAAAUAUCCAAACUAUAUCACAUGCAUACAGAUAAGGAGCAUAGGUUGCUGUUCUACCUAUUGUCUGUCCUGUUGAAACAGUUAAAUAUAUUCCCUGGGCGUUCAUUUUCUUCCCAGAACUGGGUGAAAGAACUGUCUGAACUUGCUUCUCCUUCCUCACCUGCAUGUGUUCCUCAGUCUACUGCAGUCUUUCACCUCCUUUACUUCAUUAAACCUGCUCUGGCAAAGAUCGCUAAUUUCCACCACACUGCAGAGGCUGCAGGCUCUUGUCCCUACUGAUUUGACUUCUUUGCUGCAUCUAAUACUUUCCUUGGGAUCAUUCUGCCCUCAGUGAUCUGAGAUUGCCUUCUGCCUUUGAAAAAGUGACUUGAUUGUUGUUGUUGACACUCCCUCUUCUUCUCCCUACAUGAGACAUUUCUAAAGAAGACUGGCAUUGUUUGUAUGUCAGGGACAUCAGAAUGGAACAGAGACAUAAGAACAGGAGAAGGCAAUGCAUUCUUGUCUUGAGGAAUAUGUCUGGCUUUAACAGGAGCUAUGGGCCAGAAGCACUGGGCCUUUGCAUGUCAGAACAUGAACAGUGCUGCACCAGGGCAUGCUAUAGCCAAGGCUGAUGCGGACGGUGUGGAUUUUAUUGCUGUGCUGAAAAGGUCCCUGUGCUCGUGGAUGCUGGCCACCCCUUCCACUACAUACAUAUUAAUCAUAAUUAUCUUAAAGUCCUCGUGUGAGGUUUUCAUCAUUUGGGCCAUCUCUGUAUCUGAUUCUAUUGAUUUACUUGUCUCUUGAUUGUGGGUUAUUAUUACUAUUUUGCUUUUUUUGUGCGCAUGAUCUUUUUUAUUCAAUACUGAACAUUAUUUGGAGACCAGGGAUGAUGGAGGUAUAUAGUAAUUACCCCCGGAAAUGGGCAUGCCUCUUAUGCUGUGAAGCCAUUAAUGUGGAGGGUUGAUACAAUUUGGACAAAAGAUGAGCUGAAUUUGAGGUUUGUUGUUGUCAUGGCUCUUGCUGUCUACAGGCUUUCAGUUCCUCCUUUCACCUUGUGUGCAGGGUGGGGUAUGGCUGGCGUGUUGGAAAGUCUUCCUCAGAUUUAGUGCUGCAUGCUCAGCUUUUGGCUGUCACUGUAUCAGGUCUUCUCCAUACUCUGCACCUCCCCAGUGGUAGUUGGUGCUGGGUGAAAUUUGGUUCUAAGAUCCAGGUCAGGGGAAACUUGCUGUUGUUCUGCUCCAGCUUUUUUCUUGUAAAUGCUCUGUGUGCCUGGCCCUGUGUCAUUCCUGCCCCUCUUCCAUAUGGUGCUCAAAUUCUACCUGAGUGGGGGAUUCCUGCUUCAGCCCCACACGCCCCCAGGGCAGCAGACUUCUCCUUGGUUUCAGUAGAGGAUCUGGGCCCAGGAUGGCUUCUUGCCCUCCCCUGAGUGUCCAGGGCUUUUGCUUCUACCCUUUCCCUCCUGCAGUGGGUCUUUCCUUGCUCCUUGCUCAUGGGGUUAAGACUUUUGCAUUUUGAGGGAGAAGGUUCUAGGUGGGGUGGUGGGGUUCAUGUCUGAUGCACAUGGCCCAGUCCAUCCUGCAUGCCUGUAUUACUGAUGAGGCUCAUCCUCUUCUCUUGCCCAGCUGCCAGCAUUCUUGUAAGUGCCUAGUGAGUGAAUGCAGAUCCCUCCGCAUCUGCACAUCUUUGCCGUAAGUGAACCUGGUUCCUGUCCAGUUUCUCCUUAGAGGAGGCUACCCCUCCUGGAAUUUCAGGCUUUUUGGUUUCCCUGUGACCUAAACAUUUGGCUUGGUCCAAGGAAAUUUCAACUUGUGGUGUACCUGGCUUUUUCUUGUGGUUAGGGCAACACUAUUUUCAGCUUUCUAUAUCCCUGGUGGAAGUGAGCAUCAUCAUUUCCUAAUAGUUUCCCUUGGUGAAGUUUAUUCAUGCCUGAGAGUGUUUUCCGUGUUAUAAAGGUAUUCAUGAAUAUGGUCCAUUGCCAUCUUGUCAUAAGUAGAAUUGAAAUUGUUUACAAAUGAACAUCUUCUCUGUGCUAGCUCUGAUUAAUUGAGGAAAUAUAAUUUAAUUUUUAACCCUUUGUGCUUACUCUCAGGGUAGGAUUUUUUUAAGUGAUUGUUUUGCUGUCUUCUUUUCUGUUUUUAUCUGCCACAUUAGCUCAUUUUCUGUUGGUAUAAAUGAAUCUUGGAAACUAGGUAAUCUAUAAAGAAAUUUAUUUCUUACAGUUUUGGAG
rnacentral:lncRNA from 1 species